UUACGGCCAUAUCACGUUGAACACACCGGUUCUCGUCCGAUCACCGAAGUUAAGCAACGUCGAGCCUGGUCAGUACUUAGAUGGGUGACCGCUUGGGAAUACCAGGUGCUGUAA
rnacentral:rRNA from 1 species